AGCACCAGCAGACAUUUUUGAAUCAGCUGAGAGAAAUUACUGGGAUCAACGAUGCCCAGAUACUACAGCAAGCUUGGAAGAUAGCAAUGGAAACUUGGAGUUGGCAGUGGCUUUCCUCACUGCGAAGAAUGCCAGGACCCCUCAGCAGGAGGAGACAACUUACUACCAAACCGUGCUUCCUGGCAGUGAUAGAUACAUCAGUGUGGGAAGCCAAGCAGAUGCGAGUAAGUUUACUUCUUUCUUAAUAUUUUGACAGGAAUGUAAUGAAAAAUUUUCCUUGGGGAUAUAUUAAUUUUGUUGAAGCAGAGGUAAAGGACAAAAGAAAAGACUACUUUAACCUUGGUUCUUCUUAGUGUAUUUGAAAGGAGCAUGUUUUAAUUAGCUGCAUUAUAUUUUUUUCCAGAUUGUAUUUCAUUGGUAUAUCCUUUCAUAGAGCACCUCAUGGAGUAUUCAUUGUUUUGAAAUAUGGAACAGCUACAGUGUUACUCAUUAAAGAAACAAAAAUUUCUAGAAUUUUAAAUGGGCAAAAUCAUUUGUUUUAUGGAUUUUAAGUGUUGGUAGAGGCUUAGUAUUAUUUUUGAAGAUAAAGUAGUAGUUUUAAUUACUGAUAGCUUUACCAUUUAGUAGAAUUUCCCUUCUUUCAAUCCCUGCCCCUCCCCAAAAUAAAGAUUUUGGAGAAAGGUUUAUUACCAUGUAACAAAAUAAGCACACAUACAUGCGCACACACAGGUCCAUAUGGAAAAUUUUAUGGACUAAUUUUUAUUCAUAACAUGAAUACUUUGUGCUUAUAUAGCACUGAGUUUUUCAAAAUACAUUCAGUUACCUCCAUAUCUCAUUGUGGUGUAACUGUAUUAUAUAAAAUGUAGGUAUUUAUUUUUAUGCAUUCUCAAUUAGAGAAGUUUGAUUACUAACUUGUAUUGGAAGAGAAUUUCUGAUUUUGUUUAUAGACUUUCUCAAAGUUAGGAAAUAACCAGGAAGAACCCAUUCACAUAGAUGUUUAUAGCUAUUAAUUGGCAUUAAAUACUGUUUAAUGUUGGUUGAUUUCAAGUUUUCAGGAUAAUCUUAGUAUUUUUGCUCUACAAAUGAUCUUAUGUCGGCUAAGCCUGGAAUACUCCUACUUCACACAGAUAAUAGGUGAUAAUCAGGAGAAGUUUUAUGUGUGUAAGACAGACCCAGUUGCUGUGUCCAAGUUGAAGACACACUGUGGCUUGACUCCUGUCUGCAUCUCUGACUUCGUUUUCUACUGUUUUGUUCUUUUCUCUUUACACUGUGAUGACGCAGAAUGGCUUGAAGUUCUCAUCCACCCAGUGCUAUUUAAUUUCUUUUGUCUUUAUGCUUGCUUUUCCUUCGAAGGAAUCCCUUCUAGCCUUUAUCCCCAGCCUAAUUUCUUCUGGCGUUGUAGGAUUUAGCUCAGGAGCUAAUGGCUCUAGAAUGUUUCCCCUGGCCUCUAGUAUGGACCAAGUGCUUUUCCAGCACCCAGAGCAUACCUGUGUCUUAAUGAGUACUGUGUUAUUUUAAAAUUGUUUGCUUGUGCCUUUCUUGCUUACCAAACAUGAAGCCUAACAGGGCAAGAGACUACUGAUGUUCCCAUCAUCAUAUUAGAAUGUCAGAGUUUCUCAAAAAGUGUUUGUUGAGUUAUUUUUGAUAAUAUGUGUAAAAACGCCAUCCCCAGAGGCCCACCUCUGAAGACAAUUUGGUGGACUGGACCCUCCUCAGGGCCACCUUGGGAAGCUUAUACUGAAGAUGGCAGGGCCACAUGAGGAAAGGAGCCCUGGUCACUGUGUCACCCCAGGAGAGUCACUUCCACCCAGGAACACUUGGAUUGAAUGAGGACAUAUUGUCUCAACCAAAAUCCAUAAAAUGUUAAGAUUGCCAGUUCAUAUUGAUGACUCUUGAGUUGUUUGGAUUGGAAUCCUGGUCUCUUAGUUCAUACCUUUAGGGACACCCUUCAGUCUUUGCCCUUGCUUGUCCCCAGUGACCAACCAGAAGGACAGAGGGAGCCUCAGACUAGGAAGAUUGGGGAGCUGUGUGGGCAGUCCCAGGCGUCCCUGCACAGAAGGAAACUUGAAAACAGGAGGAGAGUGGGCCUCACCCAGGGAUGGCCCCCAUCACUUGCUCUUGUGCACAGAAAGGGACGUGGCCUGGCCCUGCUUUGUACCCUAGGUGUGCUGUAGGGCCAGGUGGGCCUAGACUGGCAGAGCCAGGCUGCCAUCAGCCCUGUCCACCUCCCCCAGUGCCUGGAGAAGUGAGACCCCCUUCUACUUUCAGAGCUCACUUAGGGGUCUGUUUCCUAGACCCUAGCUGGCCUCCCCUCCCCCAACCAACUGACACACCCUG